UCCAUUCUCCACGUCCCACCUGUGCACCUUCCGUAGGGCCGUCAAGCCCCUCCGGGGGGAGGGAGGCAAACCUUUUUUUUUGUUUGCCCCUUUGCUUUUCGGCUCUGCGAGCUCUUUUGUAUAUACACCCUUGAGAAAAACGCGUUGCAGAGUGUUCUUGUACAAAGGGGGACCCUCACCGGCCCCAUAGACAAUACCAAUACAACUUUCAACAACGGAUCUCUUGGCUCUCGCAUCGAUGAAGAACGCAGCGAAAUGCGAUAAGUAAUGUGAAUUGCAGAAUUCAGUGAAUCAUCGAAUCUUUGAACGCACCUUGCGCUCUUUGGCCAUUCCGAAGAGCAUGCCUGUUUGAGUGUCAUUGAAUCCUCAAGCCCCGCCUGGCCCCUCCGGGCUUUCGGCGGCUUGGAGUUGGGAGCCUUGCGGGUCGCUAGCCCUUGCGAUCCGCUCUCCUCAAAGGCAUCAGCAGGGCCCAGUCGCGGUCGGCCUCACGGCGUUGAUAGUCCAUCUACGCCCCCGCGGUCGCACUCAGCGUGGCCCGGCUUCGAACCGGACGAGACCUGUCACGGUCUUUUGCCCCUUUGACACCCUUGACCUUCAAUCAGGUAGGACUACCCGCUGAACUU
rnacentral:rRNA from 1 species